UAUCACAAUUACAUAAAAUUCCUCAAAAGUCAGAUUAUCGUCAUUUAUUCCUUCCAAGAGGACAACCUUGUGAGACAGGUUGUCUAACCUAUUAAAACUAAGGCAAUCUCGGAAUGGAGACAAUAUUGCCGAUACAAAGCAAGGAGGAGGGCAUGUCUUGCAUCAAUUGCUAAUUCUGGACAAGAAUUGGCCGAAAAAUACCGAAAGGGACUUGUUUUGAAAACUUGGGUUCAAAUCGUUCGAGAAAAACAAAAAUUUGACAAAAAAUGGACAAAAUCAGUCCAGUUGAACAAAUUGAGAACACUGAGGUACCACUUCAACACACUAGUCAAACACCACGUGACUAAAACACACAAAAAAUCCCUAAUUAACCAAAGCGAGCAAAUUAAGAGAUUUUUUGUAUUUUCAAAGACUUUAAUCCGCUGGAAGUACUCAUUCGAGAACGCACAGGCCAUAAACGGCCCUCAGAACACAGCAUUUUACCAUUGGGGGAACAAACUGACAGAAAAGGCUUUUAAUUCCUGGAAAAAUCACGUCGAGUUAAAAAGAAAUAAAAAACUGGCUCGGAAAAAUGCCCAGAAAACAUAUUUGGAUUGGCUUAGAUGUUCUUGCUCAGUGAAAUGGCUUAAUUACUCUGAGACGGUGACUAAAUAUAAACAGGAGUUCAUAUUGAGGACUAAA